AAAGAGUUAAAUAAUUAAUAAAGUUAUUGUAGCAAAAUUAUUUUAAAUAAUUAUUUUGAAAUGAAAUGUUAUUCGUUUUUAAAUAUAUCUAGUUUUUUUAGAAAAAAAUUUAAUUUUAAAUUUAAUAUUUUAAAUAAAUUAAUUAAUUAAUUUAUUUAAAUUUAAUUUUUAUAUUUUAAGGGAUAAGCUUUAAAUUAAAUUUUUAUAAUUAUUUUUUUUUUAUUGAAAAUUUUAUAAUUUAUAUUGUUAAUAAAUUUUAUUUUAUUAUAAAUAAUUUCAUUUAAAUAUAAAAUUUAAAAAUUUAUUUAAUUUUUUAUAAAAAAAUAGUUUUUAAUAAAAAAAAAAUUAAAUAUAAUGAUAAAAUUAGUAUAUUAAAUUAUAUAUUUAAUUUUAAAUUUAUAUUAUUAAAUUAAUUAAUUAAAAGGAAUUCGGCAAAUAUUUAUUUUCACUUGUUUAUCAAAAACAUGUCUUUUUGUUUAUAAUUUAAAGUCUAAUCUGCCCCCUGAUUUAAAUUAAAGGGCUGCAGUAUUUUGACUGUACAAAGGUAGCAUAAUCAUUAGUCUCUUAAUUGGUGACUUGUAUGAAAGAUUGAAUGAAAAAUAUACUGUCUCUUAAUUAAUUUAUAGAAUUUAAUUUUUUAUUUAAAAAGUUAAAAUAUAUUAAAAAGACGAGAAGACCCUAUAGAGUUUUAUAAAUAUUUUUAUAUUUAAUUUCAUUUAUUAUAAUAAGAUUUUUAUAAGUUUAUUUAUUUUGUUGGGGUGAUAAGAAAAUAAAAUUAACUUUUUUAAAAUUUAACAAAAAUAUAUGAUUAAAUGAUCCAAUAUUAUUGAUUAUAAGAUUAAAUUACCUUAGGGAUAACAGCGUAAUUUUUUUUUUUAGUUCAAAUAAGAAAAAAAGUUUGCGACCUCGAUGUUGGAUUAAGAUAAAAUUUAAAUGCAAAAGUUUAAAAUUUUUG
rnacentral:rRNA from 1 species